rnacentral:misc_RNA from 1 species
CAACGACUCAGAUGUCCGAGAAACAGUUCACUGCCGAAGGCCACAUCAGUACCUACUUCAACAUAUACCGAAUCACCGUUGAUCAAACCGGAACUUCUGGAUGAUGAUGCUGAUGGGCCUUCGGCGAAGGUGCUGGCUCUAGAGGGGAAUAUAGAGAGGGUGAUAUAUGGUUGCAGGUUCUUUACCCUCCUCAGCGUGGCUGGAUCUUUGUUUGGGUCUGUUAUCUGCUUCCUCAAGGGUUGUGUAUAUGUGUUGGAUUCGUUCAAAGUUGGCAUAGGUGGUGGUGGAAAAGUGAUCAUGACAUUGGUCGAAGCUGUUGAUAUCUAUCUCAUAG